CGUCCAGGAUAAUAAGCUCUGGAAGUUACCGAAUUGCAAAUGGUUUACAAUCAGUUGUUUUAUUGAACAUCUCACGCAGUUUAAUUUGGAUUGAUUACAACUUUGGAAAACCCAGAACCAAACUCCUGUGAAAACUGCAAGCAUCCGUGCUAAGGAGAAGUGAAAGAGCCAGCUGUGUCCAGGCUCAAACAGGGGAAACCACGUUUGAAGGUGGCGGCAGGAUGUGGGAGCAGAGCCCGUACAGAGGAGAUCGCGUGCAAGAGGAGCAUUUGAGCUUUGGCACAAGACCACAGUUCCCCAGUGCAUUUGUACUUGGGAGGAAGGUCUUAAAAGAGAGUUACACAAUUAUGAUUGCUUCCUCGGAGCCAGGCGGGGACGAAACUGAUUUACGGGCUGCUUCCCCAGCUCGCACAUUCACCGUCCUGCAGCUACACGCGACCCUGCCCAGCACCACACUCGUUUCUGAGCAGACUUCACCCCGUCCAGGAGGCUCUGGAAUCUGCAUACCAGAGGGAUGAAAGAUCAAAACUCAGGCCGUCGCCUCCUCUGGCAUUUGCACGUUUCAAGCCUUGUGCUUUUCAUAGAAUCAGAUAUCACUUCCCUCAGGCUACUCCAGGUUCUGAACCGCCAGUUGAAGGCUCGGGAUUACUGGGGAGAUGUUGGUCGGUCGUCUACCCCUUGAUUUCCUCAAGCUCUGCCACUCUUCUCUCCUUAGAAGCCUAAGUGCCCUGGCUUCCACCACCAGGCUCAGGAGCACUAAUCCUGACCUGGAGAUCAGAGAAACUGUGUCUUGAAGGAUGAGUAGAAGUUCUCAGAUCAAAGGAAUGGAGAAGGUACCUGUGAGGGACAGAGAGAGCAUAAGCUUCCAGAUCCUGUUAAUGUGCAUCCAGGGGUGACCACAACUUGAACCAGCCUUACACCAGAGGUGUAGAGACCCUAGGUCCCCAAGAUGCAGAGAAGAAGGAAUCAGGUAGGCAGCCUUCCAUCCCCCAUCCUGUCAUGAUGUUUUUUUUUUUUAAAUUUUUAUUUAUUUAUGAUAGUCACAGAGAGAGAGAGAGAGAGAGAGAAUGAGAGAGAGAGGGGCAGAGACA